rnacentral:sRNA from 1 species
GUCUACCCGCGUUGCAAAAUGCCCGAGCCAAAAGCGGAGGCGAGUCAGGGCAUGGCCGUAUCGUUAUUACUUCCUCGCUUGCCUUUAGGGAGGCGCCAAAGAAGACCGGGAUUGACUUCGAGGGCCUGAAGGAAACGCAGGGAGGGGUGAGCGGACCAGCCAUGCUGGCGAAAUACACGCUGUACUCGCAGAGCAAACUGGCCAACGUCCUUCACGGCUCCGAGCUGGCUAGACGUUAUCCGGAACUUACUGUCGCUUCUGUUCACCCGGGAGUGAUUAUGUCGACAGAGCUGAUGGACCAUAUGAAUUGCGUCGACCGGUUUGUGGUGAAGAUGGCUGUGAGGAAUUUCCUUCACGUCGGUUUGCAAGAGGGGUCGUACAAUACUCUCUGGGCUGCGACGACGACACAGAUAGCAAAGACAGGUGAGGAUGAUGCGGGUUUCUUGAAGUCUGGUGGCAUUUACCAUCCUGUGGGAACGCCCAUUCCACACACGCAGCUGUCCGGGGAUGAAGCUCUUGCAAAGAAGUUGUGGGAGUGGACAGAGAAAGAGCUUGAAGGGUAUUUGAAGAAGUAAUGAGGUUGUAUGGUUUCUUUUUUUGGUUUCGUUUUGUUCGCAUUUAAUUGGCAGCAACAUGCGGCGUAGUGCCGAUCCUUUUUCUGGUUAUGUCCGUACACGGGGCGGACCAUGUGUUGAUAAUUAGUUACC